rnacentral:rRNA from 1 species
UACGAAGGGAGCUAGCGUUGUUCGGAAUUACUGGGCGUAAAGGGCGCGUAGGCGGCUUCGAUAGUUGGGCGUGAAAUGCCUGGGCUCAACCCAGGAAUUGCGCUCAAUACUGUGAGGCUCGAGUGUGGGAGAGGAUAGUGGAAUUCCCAGUGUAGAGGUGAAAUUCGUAGAUAUUGGGAAGAACACCAGCGGCGAAGGCGGCUAUCUGGACCACAACUGACGCUGAGGCGCGAAAGCGUGGGGAGCAAACAGG